rnacentral:tRNA from 1 species
GGAAUUGUAGCUCAGUGGUAGAGUGCUUGCCCACUAUGUAUGAGGCACUGGGUUCAAACCUCAGCACCA